AAACUUUCAGCAACGGAUCUCUUGGCUCUGGCAUCGAUGAAGAACGCAGCAAAAUGCGAUAAGUAAUGUGAAUUGCAGAAUUCAGUGAAUCAUCGAAUCUUUGAACGCACAUUGCGCCCGCCAGUAUUCUGGCGGGCAUGCCUGUCUGAGCGUCAUUU
rnacentral:rRNA from 1 species